ensembl:lncRNA
AAUACGGAACAUAUCCCAGUCCACGUGAUGGAAGCAGUCUUGGAGCUUGGAAUCAGAUUGGUCGGACCAGCGUUGAACAGACCUCAGCGCGGGAGCUUCUGUCUGUAGGCAGGGAGCAACAAAAUGGAGUUGUGGUCAGCUUUUCCGAAAGGAGGGUGGGGGAGGGCCUUAUAUGCGUAGCGGAAGUUAGAAUAGCAAUGAUCCAAGGUUUUACCAGCCCUGGUUGCGCAAUCGAUAUGCUGAUACAAUUUAGGGAGUCUUGUUUUCAGAUUAGCGUUGUUAAAAUCCCCAGCUACAAUGAAUGCAGCCUCAGGAUAUGUGGAUUCCAGUUUGCAAAGAGUCAAAUAAGUUCGUUCAGAGCCAUCGAUGUGUCUGCUUGGGGGGGAAUAUAUACGGCUGUGAUUAUAAUCGAAGAGAAUUCCCUUGGUAGAUAAUGCAGUCGACAUUUGAUUGUGAGGAAUUCUAAGUCAGGUGAACAGAAGGACUUCCUGUAUGACUUCCUGUAUGUUGUUGUGACCACACCACGUCUCGUUAACCAUAAAGCAUACGCCCCCGCCCCUCUUCUUACCAGAAAGAUGUUUGUUUCUGUCGGCGCGAUGCGUGGAGAAACCAGUUGGCUGCACCGACUCCGACAGCGUCUCUCCAGUGAGCCAUGUUUCCGUGAAGCAAAGAACGUUACAGUCUCUGAUGUCCCUCUGGAAUGCUACCCUUGCUCGGAUUUCAUCAACCUUGUUGUCAAGAGACUGGACAUUGGCGAGAAGUAUGCUAGGGAGUGGUGCGCGAUGUGCCCAUCUCCGGAGUCUGACCAGAAGACCGCUUCGUUUCCCUCUUUUACGAAGUCGUUGUUUUGGGUCGCCGGCUGGGAUCCAUUCCGUUGUCCUGGGUGAAAGGCAGAACACAGGAUCCGCUUUGCGAAAAACAUAUUCUUGGUCGUACUGAUGGUGAGUUGACGCUGAUCUUAUAUUCAGUAGUUCUUCUCGACUGUAUGUAAUGAAACCUAAGAUGACCUGGGGUACUAAUGUAAGAAAUAACACGUAAAAAAACAAAAAACUGCAUAGUUUCCUAGGAACGCGAAGCGAGGCGGCCAUCUCUGUCGGAUGAACAGCAUGAGGCAGCCAAACACCAUGAGGCAGCCGAACAACACGAGGCAGCCUAACAACACGAGGCAGCCUAACAACACGAGGCAGCCAAACACCACGAGGCAGCCAAACACCACGAGGCAGCCAAACACCACGAGGCAGCCACACACCACGAGGCAGCCUAACAACACGAGGCAGCCUAACACGAGGCAGCCCAACAACACGAGGCAGCCUAACAAAAUGAGGCAUCCUGACAACACGAGGCAGCCUGACAAAACAACAAAUAUUCUCACUAUAUUCCUUCCCGGGAGACUAGAUCAGACUGUCUGAUAAAUAUAUGAACAGUGUGCCUGUCUCCCUCUCUCUCUCACAAACACACUAGCAGGGCUGUGUAUCUAUCUGAACAAAGUGAUCCUAUUGUGAAGAAGUGGAGGAAGACUGAGUCCCUAUAGAGCCUUAUGGGCCCCGGUCAAAAGGAGUGUACUAUAUAGGGCAUAGGGUGCCAUUAAAGAGGCAGACGAACAGUGGUCUGACACCAGACACAGCCCCAGGCCUCUCUGUGCUGCUGCAGGACCCAACAUCUGCUGCCUGGUCUGGGAUAAUGCAAAAUGUUCAUCUCUCAUGCCCUUUCUACACAAACACACACACGCUCACACACACAAUAAUCUCUCAUGUCCUUUCUCCUGAGGACAGGGCCAUGCCAGAGCAGUGACCUGCCUCUAACUCUCCCAGGAAGACAUCAGAUGGUACACGCAUACGCGUGUGCACACAAACACACGCACAUAAACACGCACAUGCACACACACUCACACUCCAGCGUGCCCUGGUUUGGUUGUGACUUGGGGGUAGAAAGAUGAAAGAAACAAACAUUAAAACAGGUGUGGUCUCCACAAUGCCAGUGUUGAUGGUACAUUAUGGACACUCAGGUGUGGUCUCCACAAUGCCAGUGUUGAUGGUACAUUAUGGACACUCAGGUGAGGUCUCCACAAUGCCAGUGUUGAUGGUACAUUAUGGACACACUCUAAGUUACAUUUGAUACAUAUAGGACAGCGAGUGCAGGGUCCCGUAAUGUAAUGUCUGCCUGUCCGUUCGGGGCCUUAGUAAAAGCCAUUAAAUAUGACUGCGACCCUGUAUGACAACAACCCUAGUUCCUCUGUCAAGGUCGUCUCUCUCGGGACAUCCUCUCUAUCCCUCUGUCAAGGUCGUCUCUCUCGGGACAUCCUCUCUGUUCCUCUGUGAAGGUCGUCUCUCUCGGGACAUAGUCUCUGUUCCUCUAUCAAGGAUGUCUCUCUCGGGACAUCCUCUCUGUUCCUCUGUCAAGUCUGUCUCUCUCAGGACAUCCUCUCUGUUCCUCUGUCAAGGCUGUCUCUCUCAGGACAUCCUCUCUGUUCCUCUGUCAAGGACAUCCUCUCUGUUCCUCUGUCAAGGCCAUCUCUCAGGACAUCCUCUCUGUUCCUCUGUCAAGGAUGUCUCUCUCGGGACAUCCUCUCUGUUCCUCUGUCAAGGUCAUCUCUCUCGGGACAUCCUCUCUGUUCCUCUGUCAAGGUCGUCUCUCUCAGGACAUCCUCUCUGUUCCUCUAUCAAGGAUGUCUCUCUCUGGACAUCCUCUCUGGCCCUCUGUCAAGGAUGUCUCUCUCGGGACAUCCUCUCUGUUCCUCUGUCAAGGAUGUCUCUCUCGGGACAUCCUCU